rnacentral:rRNA from 1 species
UAGGGAAUCUUCGGCAAUGGACGAAAGUCUGACCGAGCAACGCCGCGUGAGUGAAGAAGGUUUUCGGAUCGUAAAACUCUGUUGUUAGAGAAGAACAAGGACGUUAGUAACUGAACGUCCCCUGACGGUAUCUAACCAGAAAGCCACGGCUAACUACGUGCCAGCAGCCGCGGUAAUACGUAGGUGGCAAGCGUUGUCCGGAUUUAUUGGGCGUAAAGCGAGCGCAGGCGGUUUCUUAAGUAUGAUGUCGAAGCCCCCGGCUCAACCGGGGAGGGUCAUUGCAAACUGGGGGACAUGAGUGCAGAAGAGGCGAGUGGAAGUCCAUGUGUAGCGGUGAAAUGCGUAGAUAUAUGGAGGAACACCAGUGGCGAAGGCGGCUCGCUGGACUGUAACAGACGAUGAGGCUCGAAAGCGUGGGGAGCAAACAGG